UUUUCUGUCUCAAAAGUUUGGUGAAAACAUACUUGCAACCAUCAUUCUUUCUUAUACUCUUUUAGGCAUGCCAAUAAAAUAAAUAGAUGCAUCAAUUCAUAGAAAAUCUAGGUUAAAAGAAGUUUCCAUUCAUUUCCAAAAGCAUCAAGUUUACACAUCAUGAACUAUUCUAGGGCUGGGGCCGAAAAGUGCCAAACCUACUCCCACUUCCCUUUGUUUCUCCUAAAAAAUAGUUGACUAUGAUUACUAGGGAAGAUAACUCUUUGCUUAAAAAGCUUUUUAUUCAUCAUCCUGACCAACCCUACUGUUGCCUGCAGCACUGCCUACCAUUUUGACAUGGAUCAAAGAAGGGUUGUUGUGAAUAACUGGCUUCAUCUUGGUAUCAAAACUCAGAUAUCCAGCUUUCAUCAGUCCUUGCACCCUAUGUUUCAAAGCUAUGCAAUUUUCCAAAGAAUGGCCAAUGAUGCCAAAAUGGUAUUCACAUCGAGCAUUGGGGUCAUAGCAUUCGAGGAAAGGUGGUUUGCGAGGUUCAGCAGGGAUAGGGGCAAUGAGAUAAUUUUCUAGAAGUAAUGGGUACAACUCUGCGUAGGACAUGGG
rnacentral:lncRNA from 1 species